GUACUUAACCAUAAACUAUGCCGACUAGGGAGUCGGUACGGUGGUUUUUUAUUGCCCGUUCGGCACUUACGAGAAAUCAAGUUUUGGGCUCGGGGGGAGGUAUGGUCGCAAGGCUGAAACUUAAAGAAAUUGACGGAAGGGCACCACCAGGCGUAAACUUACUUAGCCGUAGUUAACUCUGCGCCUUAAAGCAGCCCGUAAGGGUGAGUGGUUGCCGGCCUUAAAUGCUAGUCGUGCGGUCGUCUUUCGAGGCACCGGACGGCGACACCCUCAAAUUGCGGGAAAGCCCUAAAGUUCUACCUACUAAGCCAUGGUUUCGAAAGACCAUGGUGGCCCGGUUAAUGGCCUGGGGUAUAGUAAUAACGGUAGAAAUGUUGACAAUGGGUGAUCCGCAGCCAAGCUCCGUCGCCUCGCAAGAGGUCGGAGAAGGUUCAGAGACUAAAUGGGGGGUGGGUAAGAGACCAUGUCUUGCUUAAGAUAUAGUCCAAUCCCCGGGGAAACUCGGGGUUGACUACUACAAUUACUUGUAGGCCUCUAUAAACGGGAGCCUGCGGCUUAAUUUGACUCAACACGG
rnacentral:ncRNA from 1 species